AUGGAAAGGAUGAAGAAAAGAAAGAAGGGCUGGAGGCCAAAUAUAAGCAAAUUUCGAGCACGCUCAGCAAGUUGGACUAGCAUUGCCUUGUCUCAAAGAAGGCAGACCCCAUCAAAGGCAAAUCAGUGGUUGCUGAAUACCCUCUUGCCCCUGCAGUUAAGGAUAGCUGAAAUUCAGGUUUUGUCGUGGCGGGUUCCUGAAGCCGGAUGGGUUCAGUUAAAUACGGACGGUUCCUUUGUCCAGCCUACAGGAUUUGCUGGGAGUGGUAGUUAUCUUUCAUCAUGCAGAUGCCUUCAACACUGCUCGUUUGCCCUGGAAGCUGAGUUAUCUUCGAUCAAGGAAGGGCCGUCUCUGGCCUUGGAAUGGAGCCAACUCCCAAUACAUUUCGAGACCGACUGUCCUAAGCUGUUAAUCUUCAGAGGAAAGAAGGUGUGGAUAUAUCAAAGCUUUGGCUUAUUUGUGCAUGAUAUCAAAUUGCUCAUGGCACAACAACUCAUGUUCGACUGA
rnacentral:rRNA from 1 species